UUUUUGUCAGCUGGUAUUUCGCGCGCACUCGCGAUCGCAUGCAUUCUUGAAUCUUGUUCGUAGCAUGCUAGCACUGGAGCAGUGGAGAAGCGUUUUCUUGGAGUCGUCUUGUCUUCGCAUACGUCUCUCUGCCUUGGCCUGCUAGGAUUCGUGAAGAGACUACAACUGGUAGAUUUCUAGCAGCCAGUCCUAAGCUUAGUAGCGGUGAAGUACGCUAUUUCCCGCCGAUCGGACCAAAAUUAGCUCAAGCCACGGCUCCGGGCCGAGGUCGAAAAAGCCAUUAGCGCCUGGAUGCGCCAGCGCGCUAUGAGCUCCGUGGCCCCACAACUACUUCUCACUGAGCAGAUUCUACAUGGUCUGAAGACGUCUCCAGGAGUUGGGGCCUGGAUGAAGAGUUUCUCGCUGAUCCAGCCACGCAAGAUGUAGAACACUGCGUUUAGCGCGCUAUCGAGUAUCAGUGAGUUAGUCACCGGUGCACGCGCACAGCAGUACCCGUCAUCACUGAACCUACAGAAAACCUUCCAUUGCUGAAACUUGAAAGCCUGCAAUCAUAGCGAUGGCCGACUUUUGGUACGAUGUCAUCAGGCCAAUCUAUGGAUGGCUGCUCUAUAUCCGACUCGACGUUCAGGAGCACAAGCAGCUGGUUCGUGGAUUCAAGCACUCGAAAGGACUCGACCCCAACAGAGAUUCUGUCAGGGUGACGGUCACUGCAUUGCUGGAUACUGGCACAGAAGGGGGCAUGAGACUGAUUGAUGUGCUUUCCAGGAGUCCGCAGCGUUGCAACCAAUGUAUUGCUGAUUACCUCCAGAAGACAUGGGAUCUCCGUGUCCGGGCAGGUCCGGAAGCACUCACAAAAGGUGGAGUACUACAGCCUAACAAGUUUGCAACCACAUGUACUAGAAGUACAGUCAAACCUCGUUAGGACGAACUUCAAGGGACCGAACAAGUUUGUUUGUCUCAGUAUCCGGAGUUCUUCUUGUCCAGAUCUGACAAAAAUUGAUAUGCAUAUCAUAUGGAUUGUAUUUAUGUGGAGGUGCAUGCUGUGGCAAAUGUAAAACAUUUUUUCCUAACAUAACCCAGCAAUAGGUAAGUACAAUGUGCAAUGACACCAUUACA